UUAUUAUUAUUAUUAUUAUUUUUUUUUUUUUUUUCUUCCGCCUAAAUUUUUUUCUUGCGUAGUAUUGAUGUUUCAAAAGAUGUCGCUUAGAUAUUUGGAAUAUGAUGUCGUAUAGUUUAUACGCUUUAAAAAUUUACAACUGCGUAACAAAAUACUUUACGUUGUAAGAGUUAUCUCCCCAAACACUGUUUUUCUUGUGGCCACUACUCCUUCGCAACCGUAAAAGAUUACGACAAAUUUAUUUUACCAAAUUGCUCGUUAUUCUUCAGGAUUAGAAUAUUCAUUUGGACCGAAGCUAUCCGGAGACUCCAUAUGAGAGUUAUUUCCCCUUAUGCAUUUGAUAUAAGUGAUAUGUGUUUCUUACUGGUAAACCAUCAGUGAUAUAGGCCUAGGGUCUUUAGAUUUAAGGUCCUUGGUCCAAAAAAAUGAAAAUAAGGUCAAGGUCAAAGGUCAAGGUCAUAUUCUAAAUUUUGAUUUUGGCUUAUUUUCUCUUAUUUUCAACAACCGUGAAAGAUAUUCGACAAAUUUUUUUACUAAAUUGUGAGUUGCGACAUGUUGUAACUUAUAAAUUUUGGUUGGAAGGGUGCGUAAACAAUAAAUGAGAGUUUUCG
rnacentral:lncRNA from 1 species